AGCGGAAACGACACUAACAAUCCUUCGGGUGCGUUAAUGGGCGUCGAGCGGCGGACGGGUGAGUAAUGCCUAGGAAAUUGCCUUGAUGUGGGGGAUAACCAUUGGAAACGAUGGCUAAUACCGCAUGAUGCCUACGGGCCAAAGAGGGGGACCUUCGGGCCUCUCGCGUCAAGAUAUGCCUAGGUGGGAUUAGCUAGUUGGUGAGGUAAUGGCUCACCAAGGCGACGAUCCCUAGCUGGUCUGAGAGGAUGAUCAGCCACACUGGAACUGAGACACGGUCCAGACUCCUACGGGAGGCAGCAGUGGGGAAUAUUGCACAAUGGGCGAAAGCCUGAUGCAGCCAUGCCGCGUGUAUGAAGAAGGCCUUCGGGUUGUAAAGUACUUUCAGUUGUGAGGAAGGGUGUGUAGUUAAUAGCUGCGCAUCUUGACGUUAGCAACAGAAGAAGCACCGGCUAACUCCGUGCCAGCAGCCGCGGUAAUACGGAGGGUGCGAGCGUUAAUCGGAAUUACUGGGCGUAAAGCGCAUGCAGGUGGUUCAUUAAGUCAGAUGUG
rnacentral:rRNA from 1 species